UACUCCUGUAUUACUUACUGUGUCUGGGUAAAAAGAGCACGAGAGGACCUCGUUUUCUAUACCAAGUUGAAGGCCGUCACGAUUAGAACCGGCAAUUCGUUGAUUGCCGCCAUGUGCGCUCUCCAGGUGAACAGAACACGGAGCAUCACCACCAACCAGAGCACACUUCCACAUUGUGAUACAUAUAUACACACACGCACACGCACAGACGCUUCCGAGGACAGUAGCAGUAGCAAGUAGCAGCAUACUCUCCUACGCGAAUCGAUUAACGGGCGGCACUCACCCACCGUGUGGCCUGCCAAACUGUCCCCUAGGCCCCGGCCCCGCCCGCGCCUGGCCAGUGGCCAUCCAUCCCUUCCCUUCGCUUCGACGCACCAAUCUUGUCCCGGCGCCUGCCAAAUCCAGCAAGGCCACACAGCCCGAGGCAGGAAGGGCAGCGCAGGAACAGGGAGCGAGCAGCGCACGGGCAAUGGCGGCUUCUUCCGGGACGCGCUCCGUGCGCCUGCUGGUGCUGCUGCUCUGCCUUCUCGGGUUCUGCGUCGCGCUGAGCCACCAGGAGUCGGCGGCGGACUCGUGCGCCAGGGCCAAGGUCGCGGUCGCCAGCCUCGUGCCCUUCGACUCCACGUCCUUCCGCUGCACCGCCGCCUGGAAGCAGCAGGACUUCGUCCUCAGGUACAAGAACACGGGGCCCAGCGAGUGGAGCUUCAUCCUCUCGGCGCCGGACAGGGGCUCGUACGUGGCGGUCGGCUUCUCGGGCAAGGGCGCCAUGGUGGGGAGCAGCGCCGUCGUCGGGUGGGCGGCCAACGGCAGGGGCACCGUCAAGCAGUACUACCUCGGCGGGAAGAGCCCCGAGGAGUGCGCCCCCAACAGGGGCCUCCUCAAGCUCGUCAGGAACAGGACCGCCGUCGCCUCGCGCUCCGGCCGCCUCUACCUCGCCUUCCAGCUCAGCACCGACUACCCGCAGCCGUACCUGAUCUACGCCGUCGGGCCGGACGGCAGCCUGCCGCAGUCCGACUCGCUGCGGCUGCCGGCGCACCAGAACAUGGCCUCCCGCUCCUUCAACUACACCUCCGGGCUGUCGUACAACGUCGCCGGGUCCGGCGACGCCGCGUUCCCGCCGGAGAGGAAGCACGGGCUGCUGGGCAUGAUGGGGUGGGGCGUGCUGAUGCCCAUCGGCAUGAUCACCGCGCGCUACUUCCGGCAGCUGGACCCGUGCUGGUUCUACACCCACAUGGCCAUCCAGGUGGCUGGCUACGCCGUCGGCAUCGCGGGCAUCGUCCUCGGCUUCCGCCUCAGCGAGGACGGGCUCAGGAACGUGGACGUGCACAAGGCGCUCGGCAUCGCCAUCUUGGCCAUGGCGUCUCUUCAGGUGAUGGCGAUCCUGGCGCGGCCGGACAAGACGUCCAAGGUGCGGCGGUUCUGGAACUGGUACCACCACAACAUCGGGCGCGCGGCGAUCCUGCUGGCCAUCGGCAACAUCUUCCUGGGCCUCUCCAUCGCGCAGGAGACCAGCGCCUACAUCGUCUCCUACGGCGUGUUCGUCGCCGUCUGGGUGCUCGCCGUCGCCGCCUUCGAGAUGAAGCGCUGCUACGCCGACGACGACUGAUGAGCUAGCGACACGUAAGAGUCACAGUUCGGUCCCAACAGCUGACGGCGAAGUUUGGUGUCGUUAAACUGAGCGUUCCACGGCCAGCUGGGACGUGACAGACACACGAGCGCCGAGCGCGCGCGCGCGCACACACACACCAUUCUUGUUGUUCCGUAGCUCGCAGCUGGACAGUGCAUUAUUGGUUCGAGGAGGGCGUGCUUUGGUUGGCUAAUUAAAAAAAAAAUGUUUUUUUUUUUAGGUAUAGGAUGUGAGGAAGGGGACGGUCUGCUGUUUCUAGGCUAGCUGGACGCUCUGAUUCAUAAAUUUGUACAUUGAUUGAACAGCACCAACCAGGAUGCUGUGGUGUGGUGCGUACCAGCACCGACCACAGAUGGAAGUAUCAAACCCGGAUUCGCCGCUGGGGGCGCCCGGCGCGGCGACAUUCCAUACCGUGAUGCGGCGGUCGGACGCACGCCCAAGUGUUGUGUUGUGUCUCAACGAAGGCAGGCGAAGUUGGAUGCGGGGAAGGGAACCAGUGCGGUCCGCGGAAUUUCGCUGUCGUCCGGGACUCCGCGGGGGCAUCUGGACAGCCGCGGCCGAAGCGCCACGCGGCGCGCACGUCCGGAACCCCAGCAGCAGCCAGGCCCCAGCCGACAGCCGCGGCCCGCGGGCUGAGUCCAUGGCCGGCCGGCACGUCCGCACGCACGGCGAGGACGCGCGGCUGAAUGGCCGUGCUCAGCGGUUGAGCGCACGCCGACGCCGGGUGCAAAAGUUGCCGACGAGUCACAUCGAAUCAGCCCGUGCUUGUCGAGGCUCAUCGCCUUCAGAGUCGCAUCGAAUCAGCUAGUAAUGCUUAUCGAGGAUCAUCGUCUUCGGAUGGUGGUGACUAGGAUCCGGCGACACCUCACCAGUCACCACGACUCGCAGACGUUGUCGCCAUCACCACAAUUCUGACCCCAAGUAACCCCAACGGAGUGCGCAGCUUAGGCCACAAUUUGAACCAGACAGCUAGCACCAGCAACAGGCUAAGGUGGUCCAGACCAUCAUGUUUAGCUGUUUACGGGUCAAGCGGACAGCAACGUUUUCGUCCAUGCCAUUUUUUUUUGCUGAAGCUGGGGGCUUAUAGACCUUGCGCUAAGGUUCAUCUCGA